UCGCUGUUUGCGAUACACUGCAAGCGGCCAAGCGAAAGCAUUAAGUAUUCCACCUGGGGGGUACGCCGGCAACGGUGAAACUCAAAGGAAUUGACGGGGGCCCGCACAAGCGGAGGAACAUGUGGUUUAAUUCGAUGAUACGCGAGGAACCUUACCCAGGCUUAAAUUGCAAAUGAAUAUAGUGGAAACAUUAUAGCCAGCAAUGGCAUUUGUGAAGGUGCUGGAUGGUUGUCGUCAGCUCGUGCCGUGAGGUGUCGGCUUAAGUGCCAUAACGAGCGCAACCCUUAUCGAUAGUUACUAACAGGUUAAGCUGAGGACUCUAUUGAGACUGCCGUCGUAAGAUGCGAGGAAGGUGGGGAUGACGUCAAAUCAGCACGGCCCUUACGUCUGGGGCUACACACGUGUUACAAUGGGGGGUACAGAAGGCCGCUACCUGGCAACAGGAUGCUAAUCCCAAAAACCUCUCACAGUUCGGAUUGGAGUCUGCAACUCGACUCCAUGAAGCUGGAUUCGCUAGUAAUCGCGCAUCAGCCACGGCGCGGUGAAUACGUUCCCGGGCCUUGUACACUCCGCC
rnacentral:rRNA from 1 species